rnacentral:rRNA from 1 species
UACGUAGGGGGCGAGCGUUGUCCGGAUUUAUUGGGCGUAAAGAGCUCGUAGGCGGUUUGUCGCGUCUGCUGUGAAAACUGGAGGCUCAACCUCCAGCCUGCAGUGGGUACGGGCAGACUAGAGUGCGGUAGGGGAGAUUGGAAUUCCUGGUGUAGCGGUGGAAUGCGCAGAUAUCAGGAGGAACACCGAUGGCGAAGGCAGAUCUCUGGGCCGUAACUGACGCUGAGGAGCGAAAGCGUGGGGAGCGAACAGG